GACGAACGCUGGCGGCGUGCUUAACACAUGCAAGUCGAACGGAAAGGCCCUGCUUUUGUGGGGUGCUCGAGUGGCGAACGGGUGAGUAACACGUGAGUAACCUGCCCUUGACUUUGGGAUAACUUCAGGAAACUGGGGCUAAUACCGGAUAGGAGCUCCUGCUGCAUGGUGGGGGUUGGAAAGUUUCGGCGGUUGGGGAUGGACUCGCGGCUUAUCAGCUUGUUGGUGGGGUAGUGGCUUACCAAGGCUUUGACGGGUAGCCGGCCUGAGAGGGUGACCGGCCAAAUUGGGACUGAGAUACGGCCCAGACUCCUACGGGAGGCAGCAGUGGGGAAUUAUGCACCAUGGGCGGAAGGCUGAUGCAGCAACGCCGCGUGCGGGAUGACGGCCUUCGGGUUGUAAACCGCUUUCGCCUGUGACGAAGCGUGAGUGACGGUAAUGGGUAAAGAAGCACCGGCUAACUACGUG
rnacentral:rRNA from 1 species